rnacentral:rRNA from 1 species
GUGGGGAAUUUUGGACAAUGGGGGCAACCCUGAUCCAGCAAUGCCGCGUGCAGGAAGAAGGCCUUCGGGUUGUAAACUGCUUUUGUACGGAACGAAACGGUCUGGGUUAAUACCCUGGGCUAAUGACGGUACCGUAAGAAUAAGCACCGGCUAACUACGUGCCAGCAGCCGCGGUAAUACGUAGGGUGCGAGCGUUAAUCGGAAUUACUGGGCGUAAAGCGUGCGCAGGCGGUUUUGUAAGACAGGCGUGAAAUCCCCGGGCUCAACCUGGGAAUGGCGCUUGUGACUGCAAAGCUGGAGUGCGGCAGAGGGGGAUGGAAUUCCGCGUGUAGCAGUGAAAUGCGUAGAUAUGCGGAGGAACACCGAUGGCGAAGGCAAUCCCCUGGGCCUGCACUGACGCUCAUGCACGAAAGCGUGGGGAGCAAACAGGAUUAGAAACCCUUGUAGUCC